GUGAGUCAUCGAAUCUUUGAACGCACAUUGCGCCCCUUGGUAUUCCGAGGGGCAUGCCUGUUCGAGCGUCAUUUCAACCCUCAAGCAUAGCUUGGUCUUGGGCUCUGCCGGUCACGGCUAGCCUUAAAAGCAGUGGCGGUGCUGUCGAGCUCUACGCGUAGUAACUAAAUUGUCGCGUGUGAUCCUCGGUGGAUGCUUGCCAACAACCUCUAAUUUUCUAUGGUUGACCUCGGAUCAGGUAGGGAUACCCGCUGAACUUAAGCAUAUCAAUAAGCGGAGGA
rnacentral:misc_RNA from 1 species